GUAGGGAUCAUUUAUGGUAAAAAGGUGAAAACCUUUUUACCCCAAAACUCUGUGCAAUGGAGCACACGGCUUGUGGAUCGAUGAAGCCCGCGGCAAAAAGCGAUAUGUAAUGAGAUUCGUUAGCCUCGCGAUUCAUCAAAUUGGUGAACACAUACUGGACCUCUUCGGAGGUACUUGCGUUAGAGUGCUAGUUUUAUAUCAAUUGAUCCCGGUAAAAGGUGUUUGUAUCGUUAGAUGCUUACGCCCUAGCUGGUGUAGCCGGAUUCUCUUUGAGAAACCGGAUUGUUCUGAACCUAUUGGUUAAAUAGGCCGUUUGCAGCUUUACCCGUCCAUUGCGGAUUUGUGGUCCAGUGUGCAGCGCUCGAUUUAGCUUCUGGUUCGGUCAAUCAUUUUUUUUAUAACUGGCCUCUAAUGUGAGAGGGUACCCCCUGGAUUUAAGCAUAUUAAUAAGGGGAGGAAAAGAAAUCAACAGAGAUUCUCCUAGUACCUGCGAGGGAAAAGAGAAAAGCCCAUCCUGAAUCUAAGGUUUUGCCUUGGAGUUGUAGGGUGAGGAUGCUAUUCCUUGGACUGAGAACUGUGAAAUUACCUGCAAAGGUAUUCACUAGUGAAUCCAUAGAGGGUGUUAGGCCCGUUAGCGGUUCAUUCAGUUCUGUACGGAAUGGUAUCUACGAGUAGGAUUGUUUGAUAGUACAAUCUGAAUAUGGGGGAUAAACUUCCUCUAAGGCUAAAUAUAAUCCACAAGACCGUUAGUAAACAAGUACCGUGAGGGAACGUUGAAAAGUACUCUGGUAAGAGGGUGAAAAGAGUGUGAAAUUGCAUAGAUUUAAGCGUAACCAAGUAUCGACGCUUGUAGUGUACUCUAUGGUGCAUUAUAGGUAUCCAACAACUCCGUCUUUGCUUCUUGUGAGGAUUGGGCUACACAUGCUAAGAAUGCCGUUGUAGAUGCGCUCUGCAGACGAAAAUCUUGUUGCUGUGUCUUUGCUUCGCGGCUUAGAUGUGGUACCGGGGUCGUAGUAUGCAAGGUGUGUCGCAAACUAUCGGUCUUUAGCAUAUUGUUGGUAUGGUAUUUGGGAACGUCCCGUCUUGAAACACGGACCAAGGAGUCUAGCAUAUCUGCAAGCCGUAGCAAUUUUAAUUGUGAAGGCGUAAUGAAAGUGUAUUGUGUUAACAGCACAAACCGGGCCUUUCGGUCUGAGUUAGAGUAAAUAUGCUAGUACCCGAAAGGUGAUGAACUAUGCCCGGACUGGUUGAAGCCAGGAGAAAUCCUGGUGGAGGACCUCCCGCGGUGCUGACGUGCAAAUCGCUCGUCCGAGCUGGGUAUAGGAGCGAAAGACUCAUCGAAUCGCCUAGUAGCUGGUUCCUGC
rnacentral:misc_RNA from 1 species